UGUACCUACAUCUUCCUUGAGUGCUGCAUUAGCUUUUGUUCGUUAUGUUACAGGUUUCCAGUUUUUGGUGCAGUGCUUCCACGGGCAGUCCUCCGGUCUUUGGAUCCCUCAAUUGCCUGUCAUUAUCUUAUCUAUGUACGGUAAAUGCAUCUCAGUUUCUUCGUGGAUUCAGGGAGCUCGGGCUAUUUCACUCACAUUUUUCUUGCAGAUUCGACUUCCCUUCACUUCUGAUCUG
rnacentral:lncRNA from 1 species